AGUGAACGCUGGCGGUAGGCCUAACACAUGCAAGUCGAACGGCAGCACAGAGGAGCUUGCUCCUUGGGUGGCGAGUGGCGGACGGGUGAGGAAUACAUCGGAAUCUACUCUGUCGUGGGGGAUAACGUAGGGAAACUUACGCCAAUACCGCAUACGACCUACGGGUGAAAGCAGGGGACCUUCGGGCCUUGCGCGAUUGACUGAGCCGAUGUCGGAUUAGCUAGUUGGCGGGGUAAAGGCCCACCAAGGCGACGAUCCGUAGCUGGUCUGAGAGGAUGAUCAGCCACACUGGAACUGAGACACGGUCCAGACUCCUACGGGAGGCAGCAGUGGGGAAUAUUGGACAACGGGCGCAAGCCUGAUCCAGCCAUACCGCGUGGGUGAAGAAGGCCUUCGGGUUGUAAAGCCCUUUUGUUGGGAAAGAAAUCCAGCUGGCUAAUACCCGGUUGGGAUGACGGUACCCAAAGAAUAAGCACCGGCUAACUUCGUGCCAGCCGCCGCCGUAA
rnacentral:rRNA from 1 species